UAUAAAAUCUUUGAUAAUACAUCUCUUUCUUUAGCAAGGACUGGAAAUUUGUCAGCUUGCUGAGUGCACUGUUAUUAUUGUGCAGUGGGCAUGGAAGCUACAACUGAAAGCAUCAAUGAAUGAUGUCCUGGACUUUGGAGAUUCCUGCUAUCUGGAGGAAAUUAAAAUGCAAUGGAAGCUCAUGCUGUUCCUGACUGCCCAGGAGGAACGCAAUGAAGUUGCUAUUUCUGGCGAACAACACAUCGUUCACCUGCUUGUCACAUCUGUGCACCACAGAUUGAAUGAUAUUCCCUGUGGCAGUCAGCAAUGAGGUUCAGUCAUAAAAGUUUCGAACUAAUGUGACCUUGACUGCCACCAGCAAUGCGGUGCUCUGUCCUGUAGUUUGGCUGGACGUCACAUAAUUGUAACCUGCAGCACGUCUCUGUGGUUUUUUCUCUCUUUGCACAGUCGGUUCUUCAGACAGAAGUACAGAGUGAAAAGACCUGAAAUAGCAAACAAGUUGACAGUCACCAAAACAGUCGGGGCAGAAGAAGAGAAGUCCUGAGUGGCUUAGAGGUGGUUUGACCAAAUGUUCCCAUUUGCAAUGACUCCACGAAGAGUGGUGCUUGAUUUCCAGUGCAAGUGAACAGUGGCAACAGACACAACUGGACACAUACUGCCCUUUUUCAACUCAAAAGAGCAGGAACAAAGUGUUGACCAUUCAAAGUCAAUCUGCCUGAUGUAAAAUUUAAACAUAGUUUGGCAGUUGAUUGUCAAUUAUCAUUAGCAAGUGUGUUCUGAAUGGUAAUGCCUCCCCCUAUCAGAGUCUAUUUGACAACAAAUCAUCAUUGUUUUCUCAUAACAAUUAAAC